rnacentral:rRNA from 1 species
GAGGGAAACCGAGUCUUAACCGGGCGUUAAGUUGCAGGGUAUAGACCCGAAACCCGGUGAUCUAGCCAUGGGCAGGUUGAAGGUUGGGUAACACUAACUGGAGGACCGAACCGACUAAUGUUGAAAAAUUAGCGGAUGACCUGUGGCUGGGGGUGAAAGGCCAAUCAAACCGGGAGAUAGCUGGUUCUCCCCGAAAGCUAUUUAGGUAGCGCCUCGUGAAUUCAUCUCCGGGGGUAGAGCACUGUUUCGGCUAGGGGGCCAUCCCGGCUUACCAACCCGAUGCAAACUGCGAAUACCGGAGAAUGUUAUCACGGGAGACACACGGCGGGUGCUAACGUCCGUCGUGAAGAGGGAAACAACCCAGACCGCCAGCUAAGGUCCCAAAGUCAUGGUUAAGUGGGAAACGAUGUGGGAAGGCCCAGACAGCCAGGAUGUUGGCUUAGAAGCAGCCAUCAUUUAAAGAAAGCGUAAUAGCUCACUGGUCGAGUCGGCCUGCGCGGAAGAUGUAACGGGGCUAAACCAUGCACCGAAGCUGCGGCAGCGACACUGUGUGUUGUUGGGUAGGGGAGCGUUCUGUAAGCCUGCGAAGGUGGCCUGUGAGGGUUGCUGGAGGUAUCAGAAGUGCGAAUGCUGACAUAAGUAACGAUAAAGCGGGUGAAAAGCCCGCUCGCCGGAAGACCAAGGGUUCCUGUCCAACGUUAAUCGGGGCAGGGUGAGUCGACCCCUAAGGCGAGGCCGAAAGGCGUAGUCGAUGGGAAACGGGUUAAUAUUCCCGUACUUGGUGUUACUGCGAAGGGGGGACGGAGAAGGCUAUGUUGGCCGGGCGACGGUUGUCCCGGUUUAAGCGUGUAGGUGUGUGUUCCAGGUAAAUCCGGUUCACUUUAACACUGAGGCGUGACGACGAGGCACUACGGUGCUGAAGCAACAAAUGCCCUGCUUCCAGGAAAAGCCUCUAAGCAUCAGGUAACAUCAAAUCGUACCCCAAACCGACACAGGUGGUCAGGUAGAGAAUACCAAGGCGCUUGAGAGAACUCGGGUGAAGGAACUAGGCAAAAUGGUGCCGUAACUUCGGGAGAAGGCACGCUGACACGUAGGUGAAGUGAUUUACUCAUGGAGCUGAAGUCAGUCGAAGAUACCAGCUGGCUGCAACUGUUUAUUAAAAACACAGCACUGUGCAAACACGAAAGUGGACGUAUACGGUGUGACGCCUGCCCGGUGCCGGAAGGUUAAUUGAUGGGGUCAGCGCAAGCGAAGCUCCUGAUCGAAGCCCCGGUAAACGGCGGCCGUAACUAUAACGGUCCUAAGGUAGCGAAAUUCCUUGUCGGGUAAGUUCCGACCUGCACGAAUGGCGUAAUGAUGGCCAGGCUGUCUCCACCCGAGACUCAGUGAAAUUGAACUCGCUGUGAAGAUGCAGUGUACCCGCGGCAAGACGGAAAGACCCCGUGAACCUUUACUAUAGCUUGACACUGAACAUUGAGCCUUGAUGUGUAGGAUAGGUGGGAGGCUUUGAAGUGUGGACGCCAGUCUGCAUGGAGCCGACCUUGAAAUACCACCCUUUAAUGUUUGAUGUUCUAACGUGGACCCGUUACCCGGGUUGCGGACAGUGUCUGGUGGGUAGUUUGACUGGGGCGGUCUCCUCCUAAAGAGUAACGGAGGAGCACGAAGGUUGGCUAAUCCUGGUCGGACAUCAGGAGGUUAGUGCAAUGGCAUAAGCCAGCUUGACUGCGAGCGUGACGGCGCGAGCAGGUGCGAAAGCAGGUCAUAGUGAUCCGGUGGUUCUGAAUGGAAGGGCCAUCGCUCAACGGAUAAAAGGUACUCCGGGGAUAACAGGCUGAUACCGCCCAAGAGUUCAUAUCGACGGCGGUGUUUGGCACCUCGAUGUCGGCUCAUCACAUCCUGGGGCUGAAGUAGGUCCCAAGGGUAUGGCUGUUCGCCAUUUAAAGUGGUACGCGAGCUGGGUUUAGAACGUCGUGAGACAGUUCGGUCCCUAUCUGCCGUGGGCGCUGGAGAACUGAGGGGGGCUGCUCCUAGUACGAGAGGACCGGAGUGGACGCAUCACUGGUGUUCGGGUUGUCAUGCCAAUGGCACUGCCCGGUAGCUAAAUGCGGAAGAGAUAAGUGCUGAAAGCAUCUAAGCACGAAACUUGCCCCGA